GCUUAUCACCAUUCCAGAUUGAAUAUACCCGAUCUCGUCAGAUCUCGGAAGUCAAGCAAUCUCGGGCUUGAUUAGUAC
rnacentral:rRNA from 1 species